rnacentral:rRNA from 1 species
UACGGGGGGAGCAAGCGUUGUUCGGAUUUACUGGGCGUAAAGGGCGCGUAGGCGGUCAGCACAAGUCAGUUGUGAAAUCUCCGGGCUUAACUCGGAAAGGUCAACUGAUACUGUGCGACUAGAGUGCGGAAGGGGCAACUGGAAUUCUCGGUGUAGCGGUGAAAUGCGUAGAUAUCUGGAGGAACACCGGUGGCGAAGGCGACAUCCUGGACCGGUAUUGACGCUGAGGCGCGAAAGCCAGGGGAGCAAACGGG